rnacentral:misc_RNA from 1 species
UUUUUUUAUUGUGAUUGAAAAGUUGUGUUUUAUAGGUAUUUUUUUCAUAUUUAAAAAUUAUAUUUAUGAAUUAAUUAUUUAAAAAUGACCUCACUAAAAAUAGUUUCUGAUUCAAUAAUAUCUCUAAGAGUGAUCGCAGUCGCAGACAUAUAACUUAAGGAGAAAUUUUAUAAUGAUAUGAUUAUAUCAUGUAAAUUUGAUACACAGAAUAAUAAAUUAAUAAUGAAAUGACAAUCGAGUAAUAAUGGGUUUACAAAAUUCAGUUAUGGUUAGUUUUAAAACAGUUUUAUUUUUUUUAAAUUAUAACUGCUAUUUUAACGUAUAUGUCACUUUGAGAUUGUAACUGGAUUGUCAUCUACAUAUGGCCGUCCUACAUUUAUAUAAUAUCUCUAACUCAAGUGAUGCAUUUGCGAUGCACAUGCCUCAAUGUUACUCUGAUUCAUGUCCACAAAACAAGCUCGUCAAUAGACUCGGAUAUUGAGCGUGCUUGCUGAUGUAUGCAACGUUAUUGUCCUUGGGAUCCAUUACAUGCAUUAAAGUCUUUUUAUUUAAGUCAACACAUGCAGCUUUUAAUUUGUUUUCCUCGGAUCUUGCUUGUUUAAAACUAGCUUUACGUAAUGUUUCUCAUCCAUCAAGUUAGCUAUCUUGAUUCUUGCACAUGCCCAUGCACGUCAAAUUGUACAUAUUUUUCCAAUUUCAGAGCUCCAGCAUUCACGAAAAUCAUAUCAUGGGGAAAAAAAAUUGAUUGGGCUAUUGUUGAAUAACAAAGAAUCUCAGCGUAAAAAAAGGAAGAAGCUAGUGGAAGCAAGCAACCGACACCAAUUACUUGACAUUAUAUGCCGCAAUAGGUGUUAUAUUGUCAAAUCUUGCAGCAUGUGACACUUUCCUCCCUCCACUACUAUACUCUAUUUAAUAGAACCUGCACUGUGCUUCUUUUCUCACUCUGACCAAGUGAUCAUGGCUAGGUGGGUGGUGUUGUUAUUUGCCCUCUCUGUCUAUGUACUGCCUGGGCUGGUUAGUGCACGCAUAGUUGGGAGGCCUUUCUAUAUCCAUGGCCGCGUCUACUGUGACACUUGCCGCUGUGGCUUUGAAACCAACAAAACAACUUACAUUCCUGGUGCUAAUUCUGUACAUAUAUAUAGGCAUUAGCUUUAGUUAAUUUAUAUUAGCCAUUUCUUACUUAUUGGUGCCCUUGCAGGUGCGAGAGUCAGAAUCGAGUGCGAAGAUAGGACAACUUCGCAGCUUAGAUACAGUGUGGAGGGAGUCACAGAUUCGACUGGAACAUACAAAAUAAAGGUAGAGGAUGACCAUCAAGACCAGCUCUGCUAUGCUACUUUAGUUAGCAGUCCUCUGGCUAGUUGUAAGACGGCAGACCGUGGACGCAGUCGGGCCGAAGUCAUACUAACUCGUAAUAAUGGUGCGAUUUCUGACCUGCAUUUCGCAAAUUCCUUGGGAUAUUUGAGAGAUGAGCCACUUUCUGGCUGUGCUGAAUUGGUCAGGCAACUUCUGGAAUCUGAUGAAUAGAAUACACAUAAUUUCUUGUAGUUUUGCUUAAUCCCAUUCUAGUCCUGUUUCUGUUUUUCUAUUUCUUAGAUGUCAUGCCAUGGUUCUUAAUUCUCAUAAAUAUGCGUGUCUCUUAGCUCAGGAGACUCCCAGUGUUGUUUCACUGCUAGCGAAUUAUUGCUUCUACCUUGCAAGGUUGAUAUAAAUUUGAUCCUAUAUGUUAUAGCUUUCACUUUAAAAUAGAAGCAUUUAAUAAAAAUGAAGAUGUGAAUUCCACAUCUG